UACGGGGGGGGCAAGCGUUGUUCGGAAUUAUUGGGCGUAAAGAGCUCGUAGGCGGUCUGUCGCGUCGGCUGUGAAAACCCGGGGCUCAACCCCGGGCCUGCAGUCGAUACGGGCAGACUAGAGUGCGGUAGGGGAGACUGGAAUUCCUGGUGUAGCGGUGAAAUGCGCAGAUAUCAGGAGGAACACCGGUGGCGAAGGCGGGUCUCUGGGCCGUAACUGACGCUGAGGAGCGAAAGCAUGGGGAGCGAACAGG
rnacentral:rRNA from 1 species